AAUCAACGCUGGCGGCGUGCCUAACACAUGCAAGUCGAACGCGAAAGUCCCGAAAGGGAUGAGUAGAGUGGCAAACGGGUGAGUAACGCGUGGGUGACCUGCCUUCGAGCGGGGGAUAACGUCCCGAAAGGGACGCUAAUACCGCUUAACAUCCUGCUUUUCAACAAGUGGAGAUCAAAGCUGGGGAUCGCAAGACCUAGCACUCGAAGAGGGGCCCGCGUCUGAUUAGCUAGUUGGGAGGUAACGGCUCACCAAGGCGACGAUCAGUAUCCGGCCUGAGAGGGCGGACGGACACACUGGGACUGAGACACGGCCCAGACUCCUACGGGAGGCAGCAGUGGGAAUUGUUCGCAAUGGGCGCAAGCCUGACGACGCAACGCCGCGUGGAGGAUGAAGGCC
rnacentral:rRNA from 1 species